UACGAGGGGUGCAAGCGUUAUCCGGAUUUACUGGGUGUAAAGGGCGCGUAGGCGGGGGAGCAAGUCAGGUGUGAAAUCUAUGGGCUUAACCCAUAAACUGCACUUGAAACUGUUUUUCUUGAGUGCUGGAGAGGUAGACGGAAUUCCUUGUGUAGCGGUGAAAUGCGUAGAUAUAAGAGAGAACACCAGUGGCGAAGGCGGUCUACUGGACAGUAACUGACGCUGAGGCGCGAAAGCGUGGGGAGCAAAC
rnacentral:rRNA from 1 species